UACGGGGGGGGCAAGCGUUGUUCGGAAUUACUGGGCGUAAAGGGCUUGUAGGCGGCCAACUAAGUCCGACGUGAAAUCCCCAGGCUUAACCUGGGAACUGCGUCGGAUACUGGAUGGCUUGAAUUCGGGAGAGGGAUGUGGAAUUCCAGGUGUAGCGGUGAAAUGCGUAGAUAUCUGGAGGAACACCGGUGGCGAAGGCGGCAUCCUGGACCGAUAUUGACGCUGAUGCGCGAAAGCCAGGGGAGCAAACGGG
rnacentral:rRNA from 1 species